rfam:Microgenomates (Amesbacteria) bacterium GW2011_GWC1_46_24 TX46_C0007, whole genome shotgun sequence.
UGCGAGGUCGUCUAAUGGUAGGACAGCAGACUUUGGAUCUGCUUAUCUUGGUCCGAAUCCAAGCCUCGCAG